rnacentral:ribozyme from 1 species
CUUGACCGUGGCUGCUACCUUGACGUGGUGGUCGGGCUUGCCUAUCGUGAUGACCCAACCUAGCUAUAUUGGCUGGGACAUAUGUUCCUGCAGUUUCUACCAUGCCAGGCAGGUUGAUUGGAGAACGGUAAGACUAAAAGCAGC